UGCUAUAGUAUUAAGAAGGUACUAUAUGUCUAUAUCCCUUCUUAAACCAACACCACCUGAUUUUUGCACAUAAAAAAGAAAAAGAAAAACAACGAAAAAAGAAAGAAAAGAAGAUGUAAGAGAUACAUAAGCAAAUAAAGCAUUAGCUUAGCUAGCUGGCACCAAUGGAAUUCUACCCCAUGCAAAGUGUGAAGAUGAAUCCCUUUCACUCCCAAAAAGUGAUUUCCUUUACCUU
rnacentral:lncRNA from 1 species